UGCACAUUUCUCUGCAUAUAAGCAUUUCAUUUAUGAAUAAGAAUUUCUUCAAAAUUUUUUUUCUUUUUUUGAGAUGGAGUUUCACUCUUGUUACCCAGGCUGGAGUGCAAUGGCGCGACCUCGGCUCACUGCAACCUCCGCCUCCUGGGAUCAGGCAAUUCUCCUGCCUCAGCCUCCUGAGUAGCUGGGAAUUACAGAUGGAGUUUUGCUCUCGCUGCCCAGGCUGAAGUGCAAUGGCAAGAUUUUGGCUCACUGCAACCUCUGCCUCCCAGGUUCAAGCAAUUCUCCUGCCUCUGCCUCCUGAGUAGCUGG
rnacentral:lncRNA from 1 species